rnacentral:pre_miRNA from 1 species
UCUUAUAAAUAAGCAAAGAAAGUGGCUUCUUGAGAUGGAAUCUACUCCUGGUGAAGAUGCUGUGAA